UACGAAGGGGGCUAGCGUUGCUCGGAAUCACUGGGCGUAAAGCGCACGUAGGCGGACUCUUAAGUCGGUGGUGAAAUCCUGGAGCUCAACUCCAGAACUGCCUUCGAUACUGGAAAGCUCGAGUCCGGGAGAGGUGAGUGGAACUGCGAGUGUAGAGGUGAAAUUCGUAGAUAUUCGCAAGAACACCAGUGGCGAAGGCGGCUCACUGGCCCGGUACUGACGCUGAGGUGGCGAAAGCGUGGGAGCAAACAGG
rnacentral:rRNA from 1 species